rnacentral:tRNA from 1 species
GCGCGCUUAGCUCAGUUGGUAGAGCACCUGACUUUUAAUCAGGUUGUCGCAGGUUCGAUCCCUGCAGCGCGUACCA